GAAAGAAAGAAACUCAUAAACAAACAGAGUUCAUAACUUCUUAUUUUCAGAGUUAUGGAGUGGCUGCCAGCAAGAGACAGUGUUCAGAUGUGGAUGAUACUUGUUCAAUAUGUCAAGCUCAAUUUCAAAAGCCAAUUCUUCUCAACUGUCAGCAUAUAUUUUGUGAAGAGUGCAUUACGUUAUGGUUCAACAGAGAGAAAACAUGUCCACUGUGCAGAACUGUGAUUUCAGACCAUAUAAACAAAUGGAAAGAUGGAGCCACUUCAUCGCACCUCCAAAUAUAUUAAGUUGUGUAAACUGUUAAGGCCAGAAACACUAAUUGGAUUUGGUUACAGUGAGUAUACUAUAAAGACGUCAGCAUCAGUCCUCACAGCUUGAAGGAAAAUGUUUCUGAAUGGUUUUAGAAUAUUAUAAUACUUCAGUGUGUAUCCUGAUUUAUCAAAAGAUUAACUGAAAGAACCCUGUGUUUUAAAAAAUAUGUAAGUAAUGUUCAACCUAAUGCAUAUAGAAAUCUAUUUGACAGGUGAUGGCAAUGUUAAAUUGUAAAUGUGUUUUCUUGUUAAUGUUACCAAAACAGCAAGUGGAUAACUAGAAUUAGUGAUUUUAAAGGAACUCAGGUAUUCUUCCCUGACAUUAUUUUCCAAAAUAAGAAUAUUUUUCAUAGUAUUUUCAGAUAUACAUUAUCUGAAUUUCCUUUAAAAUUGACUUUUGUAAUUCCCAUUCUAAAAAUUCGUAAAAGUUUCAUAAAAUUUGUAUUUUUAAAUGAAAGUUCUAAAUGCUAUAUUUUACCUAUGUCAUAUUUUUUAAAAGAAGAUCAAUUACUGAGGAUAUAUUUUAAUAUUAUAUUAUUCUUUGUUGUAUGUUUAGCAGUUGCUGAGAAUAGAUGACUUAAAUUCACUUUGUGGACAUCUCAUACAAUCCUGCUGUCAGCCAGCAUUCAUGAUCUUGCUUUUUUUAUAUAGUGCCAGGGACUAUCUUGAAUUAUUAAAAUAAUUUACAUGGAUUACAAA